rfam:Triticum urartu cultivar G1812 contig1117559, whole genome shotgun sequence.
CAAGUACACCCUCCGUUCCAAAUUACUCGUCGCAGAAAUGGAUGUAUCUAAAAGUAAAAUACAUCUAGAUACAUCCGUACCUGUGACAAGUAAUUCAGAACGGAGGGAGUAUGAU